rnacentral:rRNA from 1 species
AUUGAACGCUGGCGGAAUGCUUUACACAUGCAAGUCGAACGGCAGCACGGACUUCGGUCUGGUGGCGAGUGGCGAACGGGUGAGUAAUGUAUCGGAACGUGCCCAGUCGUGGGGGACAACGUAGUGAAAAUUACGCUAAUACCGCAUACGAUCUAUGGAUGAGAGCGGGGGAUCGCAAGACCUUGCGCGAUUGGAGCGGCAGAUAUCAGAUUAGGUAGUUGGUGGGGUAAAGGCCCACCAAGCCAACGAUCUGUAGCUGGUCUGAGAGGACGACCAGCCAUACUGGAACUGAGACACGGUCCAAACUCCUACGGGAGGCAGCAGUGGGGAAUUUUGGACAAUGGGCGAAAGCCUGAUCCAGCCAUUCCGCGUGCAGGAUGAAGGCCCUCGGGUUGUAAACUGCUUUUGUACAGAACGAAAAGGUUUCUACUAAUACUAGGAGCUCAUGACGGUACUGUAAGAAUAAGCACCGGCUAACUACGUGCCAGCCGCCGCAGUAA